UACAGAGGUGGCAAGCGUUGUUCGGAAUUACUGGGCGUAAAGGGCGCGUAGGCGGUUCGUUAAGUCCUGUGUGAAAUCCCCCGGCUCAACUGGGGAACUGCACAGGAAACUAGCGGGCUUGAGUUCGGGAGAGGUAAGUGGAAUUCCGAGUGUAGAGGUGAAAUUCGUAGAUAUCGGGAGGAACACCAGUGGCGAAGGCGACUACCUGGCCUGUUCUUGACGCUGAGGCGCGAAAGCUAGGGGAGCAAACGGG
rnacentral:rRNA from 1 species